rnacentral:misc_RNA from 1 species
GAUGAAGAACGCAGCGAACUGCGAUAAGUAAUGUGAAUUGCAGAAUUCAGUGAAUCAUCGAGUCUUUGAAUGCACAUUGCGCCCCCUGGCAUUCCGGGGGGCAUGCCUGUCCGAGCGUCAUUGCUGCCCUUCAAGCCCGGCUUGUGUGUUGGGUCGUCGUCCCCCCCGGGGGACGGGCCCGAAAGGCAGCGGCGGCACCGCGUCCGGUCCUCGAGCGUAUGGGGCUUUGUCACCCGCUCGAUUAGGGCCGGCCGGGCGCCAGCCGGCGUCUCCAACCUUCUAUUUUACCAGGUUGACCUCGGAUCAGGUAGGGAUACCCGCUGAACUUAAGCAUAUCAAUAAGCGGAGGA